GAUGAACGCUGGCGGCGUGCCUAAUACAUGCAAGUCGAGCGAACAGACGAGGAGCUUGCUCCUCUGACGUUAGCGGCGGACGGGUGAGUAACACGUGGAUAACCUACCUAUAAGACUGGGAUAACUUCGGGAAACCGGAUCUAAUACCGGAUAAUAUAUUGAACCGCAUGGUUCAAUAGUGAAAGACGGUUUUGCUGUCACUUAUAGAUGGAUCCGCGCCGCAUUAGCUAGUUGGUAAGGUAACGGCUUACCAAGGCAACGAUGCGUAGCCGACCUGAGAGGGGGAUCGGCCACACUGGAACUGAGACACGGUCCAGACUCCUACGGGAGGCAGCAGUAGGGAAUCUUCCGCAAUGGGCGAAAGCCUGACGGAGCAACGCCGCGUGAGUGAUGAAGGUCUUCGGAUCGUAAAACUCUGUUAUUAGGGAAGAACAAAUGUGUAAGUAACUAUGCACGUCUUGACGGUACCUAAUCAGAAAGCCACGGCUAACUACGUG
rnacentral:rRNA from 1 species